CUAGGGGACCAUUUUAUUCCUUUUAAAUUAACUGUGUGUUUGUUAUCCUCAUUUUGAAUGAAAACUUUCUACUUAAACAUUUCUUAUUAUGAAACUAAGAACUCCUUAUUAUGUUCUCGGUGCUCUUAUUUAUAACUAUAUUGCCUUUUCUUUUCUUGCUAAGUACUAUGGACUUAGAAUGUGAUGCAUAUUACCUACACAUUGCAUGUCUUUAUAUGUGUGUGUAUAUAUGUAUAUUAAUUUCUCGUUGUUUAUUGUAUAUUUGCUAAUGUGCUAUGAAUGAUUGGUAAUUUGGUUUAUUAAUGUGUAGAGUCCAAGAACUUUACUUAGCUAGUUAGAUAGUAGUAGUAGUAAUAGUAAUAGUAAUAGCUAGUAGUAGUUAUAGUAUGUUUAUUACUGUGGAUUUUGAUUCAAGCCGGGACUUAGUUGGACACGCGUAGUAACACUUGUAGAUUUUAUAAGUUUAACCUAUAAUUUAAGAGUAUUAAUUAUAACCUAAGGUUUGAUUAAUAUGACUGAUUAUGGAGAUGAUAUUUAUCAUAUUAUAAGGUUUAUAUAGACCCAAUAAGAUAUUAACACUUGUCAUGUGUAUGAUUAAUGAGGAAUUAAGUAUUUUUUAGGAAUAAGUUUAUUAAGAGUAAUAUUUGAACAUCCUAAGGUCUGCCAGUAGCUUUGAAAUCAUUAAAGGACUUAGUCAAAGCUGUUUACUCAAUUCAAAUUAGGCUGAAAAAUUGUAAUUACGUGUACAAUAUUUCAGCGUAUGCCGAUAUAUCGCAGCUCUAGGGGGCGAUAUAUCGCCAUACGAGGAAACGAAAAACAGGUAGCUUCGCACGACCACCUUGACGAGCCUCAGGAGCAUCAGUAGAGGCGAUAUAUCGACUGUGGUGAAUGGUUUUCAAACGAUUUUGAAAUGAAGCUCAUUUUAAUCCUUAACUUCUUGAUAAGUCUAAAAUCUUUCUAACCGAGUCUUCAGCCUCUGUUGAACAAUUAUUCAAAUGUUUUCAAUUAAAAAGCCAUUAUUUUAUUCAAACUAAAUAAAUAUCUUUUCAUUCUUGAACUCUAUAAAUAGGAUCUAGUACCCAGCAAUUUCUUCAUUCAUCAAGCUGAGUUCAGAGCUUACAAGCUGCUAGGAUUACUUUAGAGUGUUGAACACUUGGGUUGGGGUUAUAAGAUUAAUCAUUAUAAGCUUAAUAAACACUUGGGAAGUAAGGUUUAUAGUAUAUUUCGGUUCGAUUUGUAGUUCGGUCAUAGAAGCAUUCAAGGUAUUCCUAAUUCUAGUUCAUUUCUGUAUUGUUUCCUUAAGUUCUUAUAGUUUUUCUACUCAAAUCCUAACUCGUAUUCUCUAUUCUUGGUUAGGCAUCGAAGAUCUUGAACGUAAGAUUCUUGUUGGAGUGUUCCAAAGUCCCGAUCUUGUUCUCACAUCUUGGUAUUUUGGAAAAUAGUUAUGACGACGGGAAGGUUCUUGGCAGCUUGGGGAUGUGUAUUGAGGCAGGAUGGAGUCGGUGGAUUGCGCGUUCGAUUCAAGGAUGAAGUUUUUAAGUAUUUUAGUUAUGAUUUCUAUGUAUUAUUUUUUCGCACUUAAUUUUUGUAAUCAAUUUUUUUAAGUUAUGUUUUGUUUUAUUUUUAAAACAAUGGGAUCCCAUAUCCUAAGUGAAAUAUUUAUGUAUUUAAACCUUUACUUUACAGUUUUAAAUAAAGUUAUGGUGUUUUCAUA